CGUAGGUGUUGGGAAAGCACGUUGGAGUGUGAAUUUGUUUACAAUGUCCAAAGUAUUUUGUUGGAAACGAAGGGCUCUUCUAAUUAAAGAAAGGGAAGGGGAGGGGCAAAUUUUGCAGCACAGAUCUGGCGAUUAGAGACAAGUGCAAGAUUUUGUGAGAUUUAUGGGGUUUGCUUCAGGUGGGCCUUUCGCUAACCAAUCGUCCUUUCUUUGAGAAAACAGGCAGAUCGCAUCUAGAUCUCUCGUCUCAGGGUCUGGACCUAUCGAGCUUGGGCUGCCAUUCUUUGAAGUGGGCCAGCCCAAUAAUGGCUUG